rnacentral:rRNA from 1 species
AAUCUACCCAGUAGCGGGGGAUAGCCCGGGGAAACCCGGAUUAAUACCGCAUACGCCCUACGGGGGAAAGGGGGCCUCUUCUUGAAAGCUCUCACUAUUGGAGGAGCCUGCGUUGGAUUAGCUAGUUGGUGGGGUAAAAGCCUACCAAGGCAACGAUCCAUAGCUGGUCUGAGAGGACGAUCAGCCACACUGGAACUGAGACACGGUCCAGACUCCUACGGGAGGCAGCAGUUAGGAAUAUUGUGCAAUGGGGGAAACCCUGACACAGCCAUGCCGCGUGUGUGAAGAAGGCCCUAGGGUUGUAAAGCACUUUCAGUAGGGAGGAAUUAGCAAGGCUAAUACUCUUGUGAAAUGACGUUACCUACAGAAGAAGAUCCGGCUAACUCCGUGCCAGCAGCCGCGGUAAUACGGAGGGAUCGAACGU